GUGAAAAUGGAUUUGGUAAGUUAUUGAGUUGAGUCCUUUCUAAUACAAAGAAACAUACUGAUGAACAUCAUGAAUGACAGAGUAUACUGAAUAAAUUUUUUCUAUUAGUGCCUGGAAGGAUAGAAAACAUGCUUGUCUAUUCUAAGUCUAUGUCUCUAUUCCUACCAGUUACAUUUCCUGUUUCCUAUUAAUUUCCAUGUUCCCAAUUUUACGAGUUUGGUACUAGAAUUAAUUUCAUUACACUAUCUAAGUUGAUGAUGACUGUUUGAGCAUCUUCUGAAUUUAGAUUAAUUUCAUAUUUCUUGAUCAACACUACUGCAAUUUCCGUAGUUUCUCGACGCUGUACAAAUUUGCUGAGGCUGGAUUUAAUCUCGCGAAGUUUCUCGACGUUGUUAGAAGUCGAACUAUUGUCUCGACAUUAAAUAGCAUCGAGAAUUAGUCACGUGUGCAACAUGUGUCUUUAACUCUAAAAUUCUACCGCUAGCCCCUGGUCUUCCAGUUUUAGUUUGGUGAAACAAGAAACCGCCGACACCAAAACCCUAAAAAAGAAAAAGAACAAAGAACACCUCUCGUCGAUCUGUUGCUCGAUCUUGGUCUGCUACCUUCAAUUCUCCAUUGAAAUCACAAUUCUCAUAGUAUGGCGGAAGGUUACAAGCUUUCUCACUUUCACCAGGAAGAUGAACUUGAAGAAGGUAUGAGCCUAGUAGAACAUUGGCAAGCUUCUCAUAGGAAGAAGGAUAGAACCUUUAUUGUCGGCACAUUCACUGAAGAGAUAAAAGAAAAGUACGAUGAGAAUGCAAAACUGAUUAAGACAAUGAACAAAGCUGUUUUCUCAAGUUUUAGAAUCUGUUUGCAGUGGAGACGUUUCGACGCAACUAGACGCUACACAAACAACCUUGUGUAUGGCUAACCCUCUGGCCCGUGAUGCGUUUGAAGAUUAUGGUGGUGGAAGAAAGGAAUAUAGGGAUGAUGCAUAGCUCCUUCAACUAUGAAGCCCAUAUACUUGAACUUAUAGUCCUUGAAUGGCUUUUGUUUUUAAGAUGACAUUUUAGAAUAAUAGGGCGAUUGGAAUUGUAAUAUUUAUAGAAGACGUUGUGUUAGUUUUAAGUUUGUGCUUUGGUGAUAAUGUAUAAACUUUGAUGAUAUGUUUAUAACGUAUUAUUAUAUAAAUUAAUAUUAGUACAAAUAUCUUUAA